GGCGCGGAUGGCGCAGGCCGGCGCCGCGUCCUGAGGCGCCGCGCCGGGCGAACGCCUCAGUUCCGGGUCCAGGUCUGGCCGC
rnacentral:tRNA from 1 species